rnacentral:rRNA from 1 species
CCUACGGGAGGCAGCAGUGAGGAAUAUUGGUCAAUGGACGAGAGUCUGAACCAGCCAAGUAGCGUGAAGGAUGACUGCCCUAUGGGUUGUAAACUUCUUUUAUAAAGGAAUAAAACGAGGCACGUGUGCCUUUUUGCAUGUACUUUAUGAAUAAGGAUCGGCUAACUCCGUGCCAGCAGCCGCGGUAAUACGGAGGAUCCGAGCGUUAUCCGGAUUUAUUGGGUUUAAAGGGAGCGUAGAUGGGUUGUUAAGUCAGUUGUGAAAGUUUGCGGCUCAACCGUAAAAUUGCAAUUGAUACUGGCAGUCGUGAGUACAGUUGAGGUAGGCGGAAUUCGUGGUGGAGCGGUGAAAUGCUUAGAUAUAACGAAGAACCCCGAUUGCGAAGGCAGCUUACUAAACUGUGACUGACAUUGAUGCUCGAAAGUGUGGGUAUCAAACAGGAUUAGAUACCCCAGUAGUC